GAUGAAGGACGCGGCAAGCUGCGAUAAUCCCCGGCGAGGAGCACACAUCCUUCGACCCGGGGGUCUCCGAAUGGGCGAACCCAUGCACAGCUCUGUGCAUAUCCCCACCCCGAACACAUAGGGGUGGGGAGGACAACCCGGGGAACUGAAACAUC
rnacentral:misc_RNA from 1 species